GGUCCUGUGUGGUUGGACAAUGUGCGCUGCACGGGGAACGAGACUCACAUCCGGCAGUGUCCUCACAACAGCUUUGCCGUGCAGAACUGUAACCACGGCGAAGACGCCGGAGUCUACUGCAAAGGUAACUACACCCGUGUUCUUCCAAUCACCGUGGGUCCAGAGGGAGUUGGUCGCACAAAGGUUGCAGAUAAUGGUUUGGUUAAGGAAGAACUUCGUCGCUCAGAGGCGGAACAAAGUGGCUCCGGUGUUAUCAUAGGGGUGACGGUCACCAUCAUUGCUGUACUCAUAGCGGUCAUCGUCGUCGGUGGCGUGAUCAUAUACCGCCGGACCCGACCGAAAGGGGAGAUCAAGAAAGUGCUAGUACACAACGACGCAAACGACCCUGAUCCCGUGAUUAACCAGUCGGGGGCAGAUGGUCGUGUAACUCUAUCAAAACUUAAGGCCCAUUUCUCGAAGUCCAAGUUGAACAGUGAGAUUGAGGACUCUGGGGCGUCGGCAGUAACGUCGGCGGGAGUUGCCAACCCUGUGUAUGUGGGUGAUAGAAAUCAAGGGAUAAUUAUGGAGGAAGCAUCCAUUGAGCGGCCCACUAAUGCCGGAUAUGACAUUUAAUGAAAUUUCUGUUAACUUUGAAUAUCUCGACAGCUUUAAUUAUGUGCAGAUGUGUUUUCUGCGGCAGCGACAUAAUAGUGGUUAGUUUCACUCUGGAACCAAUAUUUUUGGACGCUUAGACCAAGUAUCUUAUUUCUUGAUCGUGAGUGCUUGCUUACUUAAGAAUUUUUGUCUUGGUCUUUGGAGUUAAUAAUUAACUUGCCGCUUAGCAUGUGUGAUGCCCAUUGUGUGGUUCUGUGCAUGGAUAUUUGUAAUUGAACACUUGAAAUUUAGCAGAUAGUUAUAUACUACACAUAUCUACAACGAACAUAAACCAUCCCAUGAUUUGUGUACUUAAUUUUAUGUGGUUUUAUAAAUACUUAUGGCAUUCACCAUGCGUGCACAAAAUAAAUGUUAUACAAUAGCAUGUCUUUAGGUGUAGUGAAAGAACGUAAGUAUGCUAUUUUGACUGAGGUUGUACAGUU